GGGUGUAGCUGUACCAUAAAGACAGCAGAUCCCAUCUGAUCUUAGAAGCUAAGCAUGACCAUUCCUGGAUGGUACUUAGAUGGGAGACUGACAAUGAAAACCAAGUGCUGUAGGCU
rnacentral:rRNA from 1 species